rnacentral:rRNA from 1 species
UACGAAGGGGGCUAGCGUUGUUCGGAAUUACUGGGCGUAAAGCGCACGUAGGCGGCUUUGUAAGUUAGAGGUGAAAGCCUGGGGCUCAACUCCAGAACUGCCUUUAAGACUGCAUCGCUUGAACACGGGAGAGGUGAGUGGAAUUCCGAGUGUAGAGGUGAAAUUCGUAGAUAUUCGGAAGAACACCAGUGGCGAAGGCGGCUCACUGGACCGUUGUUGACGCUGAGGUGCGAAAGCGUGGGGAGCAAACAGG